rnacentral:rRNA from 1 species
UAUAUGACCGUACCGCAAACCGACACUGGUGCGCGAGAUGAGUAUUCUAAGGCGCUUGAGAGAACUCAGGAGAAGGAACUCGGCAAAUUAACACCGUAACUUCGGAAGAAGGUGUGCCCUAUUAGUGUGUAGUGAACAACGAAGCAUGAAUGGGUUGCAAAAAAUCGGUGGCUGCGACUGUUUAUUAAAAACACAGCACUCUGCAAACACGAAAGUGGACGUAUAGGGUGUGACGCCUGCCCGGUGCUGGAAGAUUAAAUGAUGGGGUGCAAGCUCUUGAUUGAAGUCCCAGUAAACGGCGGCCGUAACGAUAACGGUCCUAAGGUAGCGAAAUUCCUUGUCGGGUAAGUUCCGACCUGCACGAAUGGCGUAACGAUGGCCACACUGUCUCCUCCUGAGACUCAGCGAAGUUGAAAUGUUUGUGAUGAUGCAAUCUCCCCGCGGAAAGACGGAAAGACCCCAUGAACCUUUACUGUAGCUUUGUAUUGGACUUUGAACAGAUCUGUGUAGGAUAGGUGGGAGGCUUUGAAGCAGGGUCGCUAGAUCUUGUGGAGCCAACGUUGAAAUACCACCCUGGUGUGUUUGAGGUUCUAACCUAGGCCCAUUAUCUGGAUCGGGGACAGUGCAUGGUAGGCAGUUUGACUGGGGCGGUCUCCUCCCAAAGCGUAACGGAGGAGUUCGAAGGUACGCUAGUUACGGUCGGACAUCGUGACGAUAGUGCAAUGGCAUAAGCGUGCUUAACUGCGAGACUGACAAGUCGAGCAGAUGCGAAAGCAGGACAUAGUGAUCCGGUGGUUCUGUAUGGAAGGGCCAUCGUUCAACGGAUAAAAGGUACUCUGGGGAAACAGGCUGAUACCGCCCAAGAGUUCAUAUCGACGGCGGUGUUUGGCACCUCGAUGUCGGCUCAUCUCAUCCUGGGGCUGUAGCCGGUCCCAAGGGUAUGGCUGUUCGCCAUUUAAAGAGGUACGUGAGCUGGGUUUAAAACGUCGUGAGACAGUUUGGUCCCUAUCUUCCGUGGGCGCUGCAGAUUUGAGGAAGCCUGCUCCUAGUACGAGAGGACCGGGGUGGACACACCUCUGGUGUAUCGGUUGUCACGCCAGUGGCAUUGCCGAGUAGCUAAGUGUGGAAGAGAUAACCGCUGAAAGCAUCUAAGCGGGAAACUCGUUUCAAGAUGAGAUCUGCCGGGGCCUUGAGCCCCCUAAAGAGUCGUUCAAGACCAGGACGUUGAUAGGUCAGGUGUGGAAGC